rnacentral:rRNA from 1 species
AUUGAACGCUGGCGGCAGGCCUAACACAUGCACGUCGAACGAGUGGCGGACGGGUGAGUAAUGUCUGGGAAACUUCCUGAUUGAGGGGGAUAACUACUGGAAACGGUAGCUAAUACCGCAUACCAUCGGAUGUGCCCAGAUUGGAUUAGCUAGUAGGUGGGGUAAAGGCUCACCUAGGCGACGAUCCCUAGCUGGUCGGAGAGGAUGACCAGCCACACUGGAACUGAGACACGGUCCAGACUCCUACGGGAGGCAGCAGUGGGGAAUAUUGCACAAUGGGCGAAAGCCUGAUGCAGACAUGCCGCGUGUAUGAAGAAGGCCUUCGGGUUGUAAAGUACUUUCAGCGGGGAGGCGUUACCCGCAGAAGAAGCACCGGCUAACUACGUGCCAGCAGCCGCGGUAAUUC